CCGAGAAUAUUCGACAAUGGACGAAAGUCUGAUCGAGCGAUACCGCGUGAUCGAUGAAGUGCUUCGGCACGUAAAGAUCUUUUAUGAAUGAGAAAUAUAUGAUGUUAGUUCAUGAAUAAGGGGCUCCUAACUCUGUGCCAGCAGGAGCGGUAAUACAGAGGCCCCAAGCGUUACCCGGAAUCACUGGGCGUAAAGGGUGUGUAGGCGGUUGUGUUAGUCGUGUUUUAAAACCUGGUGCUUAACACCAGAUCGGGACACGAAACGGCACAACUCGAGUGUGGCAGAGGUCUGUGGAAUUCUACGUGUAGGGGUAAAAUCCGUUGAUAUGUAGGAGAACACCAAAUGCGAAGGCAGCAGACUGGGCCAUAACUGACGCUCAAACACGAAAGCGUGGGUAGCG
rnacentral:rRNA from 1 species